CGCAGGUCAGCUAGGAUUGAUGAAUUCGGAUCCGGAGAUGUUUGUCCGGAACCGUAGUUCCUCUGAGGAGAGAGGACAAGAAGAACCCAUUCUACAAACAGAAAACAUUCAACGGAUAACAAGGAAGAGAUGUUAUCAAACCCGUCAUCUGUUUGCAUUUAUGGGAUUCCUAGGGUUUGCCAAUGUUUACGCUAUGCGGGUCAACCUCUCAGUGGCAAUAGUAGCAAUGGUGAACAGUACCGCUCUAGGAAACGGUUCUUCAAUCAGUAAUAAUACUUGUCCUGCACCAUCUACCCCCUCCUCUCAUACUACUGACGGUCCAUUUAAUUGGAACGAAAGGGACCAGGGUUUAAUCCUUGGUGCGUUUUUCUACGGUUACGUAGUGACCCAGUUGCCUGGAGGCCGGUUAGCUGAGAUCUGGGGUGGCAAGUGGCUCUACGGGAUAGGUAUCCUGGUGACCGCUAUAUUUACAAUGCUGACCCCUCUAGCUGCUAAAACUAGUGUCUCUCUACUUACUGCUGUUAGGGUUCUAGAGGGUCUAGGGGAGGGAGUCACAUAUCCAGCUAUGCACGCUAUGUUAUCUAAAUGGACUCCUCCGAAUGAGCGAAGUAAGAUGGGUAGCCGGGUCUACUCAGGUUCUCAGUUCGGGACAGUUAUUGCUCUCCCACUUUCAGGAUAUCUUGCUGAUGAGUUUGGUUGGGAGUCAGUAUUCUACGUGUUCGGUGUAUUGAGUUUAAUCUGGUUUCUAGCCUGGGCUUUCCUAAUAUCCGACUCUCCAGAUACACAUCCAACUAUAUCCAGAGAGGAGAGAGAUUAUAUUAAAAGAUCUAUUGGUUCUGCCCGCAGUUCCGUCACAUUAUCUGUCCCCUGGAAAUCUAUUCUGACCUCUGUACCUGUCUGGGCCCUUGUGGUGACCCAUAUGGCGCAGAAUUGGGGAUUCUACACUCUACUCACAGAACUACCAACAUACAUGAAGAACAUUCUGCAUUUUGAUAUCAAGGCGAACGCGUUUAUAUCUGCCCUACCAUACUUACUGAUGUGGCUGUUUGCCUUGUUCAUUAGUUUUCUUACAGAUUUUACAAUAGACCACAACCUGUUGAGCCGUAACUCUGCCCGGAAAGUGUUCAACUCUGUUGCGUUUAUGCUGCCCGGCCUGUUCCUGAUCCUAGCAGGGUACUCAGGCUGUAAUGUAAACACCACCAUCGUCUUCCUUACCUUGGCAGGAGGGAUCAACGGAGCUCAUUAUUCAGGGUUUAUGAGCACACAUCUUGACAUGUCUCCCAACUUUGCUGGAACCCUGCUCGGGAUAACCAACGGCUUCGCCAACAUCAUGGGGUUCUUAGCCCCCGCCUUCACGGGAUACAUCAUCAACGGUCACCAGGACUUGAGUCACUGGCAGUUGGUCUUCUUCGUAGCGGCUCUGGUGUAUUUUGCUGGGAACGUUGUGUUUGUUGUUCUGGGGAGUACGAAGGAACAGCCCUGGAACCAUAAUCCAAGUAAUCCUGGAGAUAGGAACCAGGCAGAUUAUGAACCUAUCUCUACAUCAGAUAUGGAGUCGGACUAAGCUGAGGCACCGGGCUCAAAUUUAUAAUUUGGAGCAUUAUCAAAAAAUUGAACGUAAAUUUAGCAUAAUCUUGAUUUUAUAAAUCCGUCCGUUCAAGUUUUCAAAUUCCAAUAUGUUGUUGGAUAUGAUGGCUAGCUUUACAUGAAAUUUAUUAAUUGGUUUGUUAUUGUUAUUCCUGAUUUUCUUAUAGUGCUUAAAACCACACAAAUGUUGAUGAUAAAAGAUAAACUUUAUUAUUUUUAUAAGAUUUUAUAAUUGGUAUAUUUUUAUAUACAUAUUGUAAGUUUAAUUGUAAUUUUGAGAGCUAUUAAUCUAGAUUAAGAACAGUUUGUUCCCAGUGGCAUUUUUACUUUUGCAUUUUAUAGAUCUGAAUUUUCAAUAGAGUAUUUAUUUAUUGACAAUAACUUGUUAUUUACACAUAAUAAGAUUAAAUUUACAGUUCUCUUGAGUUUAGAUUUAAUGCCAUUGCUUUCAAAUUUAAGUUCAGUUAAUUUUGGAAUUGAGUUUAAGCUUAGAGGUGCUAAUUCUGGCCAGACUGGUACGUUUUUAGUCUAAAUAUCGUAUAUUGUUUGAUUCAUAAUGUUUAUUUUCAGA
rnacentral:misc_RNA from 1 species